rnacentral:rRNA from 1 species
GAUGAACGCUGGCGGCGUGCUUAACACAUGCAAGUCGAACGAGAAGUGAAGACGGAAACCUUCGGGCGGAAGGCUUUAUUUCGAGUGGCGGACGGGUGAGUAACGCGUGGGUAACCUGCCUCAUACAGGGGGAUAACAGUUGGAAACGACUGUUAAUACCGCAUAAGACCACAGCACCGCAUGGUGCGGGGGUAAAAACUCCGGUGGUAUGAGAUGGACCCGCGUUCGAUUAGUCAGUUGGCGGGGUAACGGCCCACCAAAGCGACGAUCGAUAGCCGAUCUGAGAGGAUGACCGGCCACAUUGGGACUGAGACACGGCCCAAACUCCUACGGGAGGCAGCAGUGGGGAAUAUUGCACAAUGGGGGAAACCCUGAUGCAGCGACGCCGCGUGAGUGAAGAAGUAUUUCGGUAUGUAAAGCUCUAUCAGCAGGGAAGAAAAUGACGGUACCUGAGUAAGAAGCCCCGGCUAACUACGUG